GAUGAACGCUAGCGGCAGGCUUAAUACAUGCAAGUCGUGGGGCAGCAGGUUUGUAGCAAUACAGAUGCUGGCGACCGGCAAACGGGUGCGGAACACGUACAGAACCUUCCUUUGAGCGGGGAAUAGCCCAGAGAAAUUUGGAUUAAUACCCCAUAGUAUAAUGAAGUGGCAUCACUUUAUUAUUAAAGAUUUAUCACUCGAAGAUGGCUGUGCGGCUGAUUAGGUAGUUGGCGGGGUAAAGGCCCACCAAGCCUGCGAUCAGUAACUGGUGUGAGAGCACGACCAGUCACACGGGCACUGAGACACGGGCCCGACUCCUACGGGAGGCAGCAGUAAGGAAUAUUGGUCAAUGGAGGCAACUCUGAACCAGCCAUGCCGCGUGGAGGAUGAAGGUCCUCUGGAUUGUAAACUUCUUUUAUAUGGGACGAAAAAAGGCUUUUCUAAGUCGUCUGACGGUACCAUAUGAAUAAGCACCGGCUAACUCCGUGCCAG
rnacentral:rRNA from 1 species